rnacentral:rRNA from 1 species
UAGGGAAUCUUCGGCAAUGGACGAAAGUCUGACCGAGCAACGCCGCGUGAGUGAAGAAGGUUUUCGGAUCGUAAAACUCUGUUGUUAGAGAAGAACAAGGACGUUAGUAACUGAACGUCCCCUGACGGUAUCUAACCAGAAAGCCACGGCUAACUACGUGCCAGCAGCCGCGGUAAUACGUAGGUGGCAAGCGUUGUCCGGAUUUAUUGGGCGUAAAGCGAGCGCAGGCGGUUUCUUAAGUCUGAUGUGAAAGCCCCCGGCUCAACCGGGGAGGGUCAUUGGAAACUGGGAGAGUUGAGGGCAGAAGAGGAGAGUGGAAUUCCAUGUGUAGCGGUGAAAUGCGUAGAUAUAUGGAGGAACACCAGUGGCGAAGGCGGCUCUCUGGUCUGUAACUGACGCUGAGGCUCGAAAGCGUGGGGAGCAAACAGG